rnacentral:rRNA from 1 species
GAUGAACGCUGGCGGCGUGCCUAAUACAUGCAAGUCGAGCGAACGGACGAGAAGCUUGCUUCUCUGAUGUUAGCGGCGGACGGGUGAGUAACACGUGGAUAACCUACCUAUAAGACUGGGAUAACUUCGGGAAACCGGAGCUAAUACCGGAUGAUAUUUUGAACCGCAUGGUUCAAAAGUGAAAGACGGUCUUGCUGUCACUUAUAGAUGGAUCCGCGCUGCAUUAGCUAGUUGGUAAGGUAACGGCUUACCAAGGCAACGAUGCAUAGCCGACCUGAGAGGAUGAUCGGCCACACUGGAACUGAGACACGGUCCAGACUCCUACGGGAGGCAGCAGUAGGGAAUCUUCCGCAAUGGGCGAAAGCCUGACGGAGCAACGCCGCGUGAGCGAUGAAGGUCUUCGGAUCGUAAAACUCUGUUAUUAGGGAAGAACAUAUGUGUAAGUAACUGUGCACAUCUUGACGGUACCUAAUCAGAAAGCCACGGCUAACUACGUG